CUAUAAGAUCUAGUGAGUGUCCGAAAGAAUCCUCCAGACCAAGAAAAUACAAAUUACUUCUUCUGUCUUUAAAGUCAUGGCUUAUGACUCUAAUGGUGUGUGCUACCCUUCCACAAAGAGUCACGAACAGACAUUUUCUUACUUUAUUGUGGAUCCAAUCAAGCGUCACGUUCAUGUUUUAUAUCACUGCUAUGGUGUGGGGAAAUGUCUUAACAUUGUUCUCUCAGAUGAUCUAUUUUAAUAUUGCUUUACUUACCAAUUUUUAAUUUUAAUGCCAAUUUAUAGGUAAACAUUUAUUUUGCAAGUUAAUUCAAAGAAAAGUAUAGAGA